AGGGUGUGUGCCGCGCGCGGGAAACGCCGUUCUCCGCUCCAGGCGUCGGCGGGCGGUGGCGAGAGCAGAUUUUAUAGGUUCAGAAAGUGUGUCUCAGAGGAGUUAGAGAAGACCGAUUAAUAGAUGACAGUGCUAAAGCCUGGAUCUCCUGAAUCCUGGAUGAAAGUGUCCUAAGUUAGAUUCCUGGGAAGAAAAUUCUGAGACACAUUCUGCAGGAUGAUUAUUAGGGCUCAUCCUUGGUUUCAACACCCAUAGAAGGAAGGGGGAAGAAGAAAUCGAACAGAGAGACAGAAGUCGAGAUGCAUUUCAGGCCAGGACUCUUGGCUGAACCCACAGGAGCUCUGGAGCUAGAAUGGCCCUUCAGAGUUGUCCUGAGUUGGUCUGAGAUGGCCAGUUCUUUAUAUUCCUGCAUGGGAUAGUCACUGGAUGUCCACCCCAGGAAGGGGUGUGGCCAAGACAGUCCCUAAAAUGCCCGCCAGCACUCCCUACACCUGGAGCGACAAGACCAACAUCACAGGGGGAAUGCACUGGGUGAUGGAUCACAGCGUUCAUCCCAGAAGAUGAGGAUACAGAAUUGGCUGACAACUACGUUCUAAAUGUCAGUGUUCUCCAAAAUUCAUAUGUUGAAACUUAAUUCCCAAUGUGAUGGCAUUAGGAAGUGGGGCCUUUGGGGGAGGGACUAUAGGUCAUGAGGGUGUAACCCUCAUCAAUGGGAUUAGUGUCCAGAGAGCUGCCUUGCCCUUCCACCAUGUGAGGACAUAGUGAGAAGGUGCCAUCUAUGAACUAGGAAGUGGGCGCUUACCACCAGACACCCACUCUUCUGGCAACUUGAUCUUGAAUUUCCCAGCCUCCAGAACUCUGAGAAAUCAAUUUCUGUUAAUUAUAAGCUACCCAGUCGAUAGCAUUUUGUUAAAGCUGCUGGAACUAAACUAAGACACUGACGCUUUCUGCGACAAAAAGAUAGAGUGAGUCUCUAUAGCAUACCAUGUAACAGAUGUUUUUGGAAAAAUAACCUCAUUUCAUAUGUUUCCUCAAGAUAAAAAGAAUGUCAUAACAACAAAUGAGAAAAUAGUUGCUUUAGAAAUAUUGCACCCUAUGGAGAGAGUAUUUUGGAUUUUGGUUUUUUGUUUUGUUUUUUAACUUUUGUUUUAGGUUUGGGGGUACAUAUGCAGGUUUGUUAUAUAGGUAAACUCAUGUCACAGGGGUUUGUUGUACAGAUAAUUUCCUCACCCAGGUACUAAGCCUAGUACCCAAUAGUUGCUUUUUCUCCUCCUCUCUCUCCUCCCACCCUCCACCCUCAAAUAGGCCCCAGUGUAUGUUGUUCUCUUCAUUAUGUUCAUGAAGUUGAGAGAGUGUUUUGAAAAAGAAUGUUGGAAAGCAUUUCCACUGUUAGAUGAUUUUAAGUCAAAAAGUUAUACAACAGUGUGACCUAUUUGCACACAAGCAUGGACACAGAAUUGUGUCAUAUGUUUAAAACUUUUCUAGAUCCUUUUGUGGUUCAUAAGCUUGAUGAUUGAGUUUUCGCGUCCACAUGUGAGAUGUGCCUCCCUUGAGCCUUGUCAUUGGCACAUUACCUGCCUGAUGUGAACAAUAAAAAUAAAAAAUAAAAAUUUGC
rnacentral:lncRNA from 1 species